AGUAUGUCUCUCUCUCUAUUUCUUUUUCUUCGACUCUGGCAUCUCCUAGUACAGCGAUAUCAAUAAACUGUAUGCUUCAGCCCUCAACAACCGUGAUGUCUGGCGUGUCGUGUUCCAAAUGACAAUAUGUCUGUAUUUGAAAGUCCCACAAGAUCUUCAUGUUCUCAUUUUCGGUAACUUUCUCCACUUUGUGCUCCCAUGACUUUUUGGAUACAGGAGGAUCAUCAAGAACAUGACAACUUUACAUGCUUUACCAUGCUUUACAUGGUAUUGACAGCUGUACUGAAUGCACUAGUGUAAAAGUGGAAUAUAAAAGAUGGUAAAUAAAUCAGGCAAUAAAUAGAUUAAUAAAUUCAAAAACAG